rnacentral:lncRNA from 1 species
GUACCAUACAGCUCCAGCACGAACAUGGGAUUGGGACAGCCCCUGGGUCAUGUAGGCAUCCUGGGUGGACUAGAGGAGGGGGUUAGCAUCCCACCCCUCCUUCCUUGUUGCUUCACGUUCGUGGAAUUGGCACCGAACAGAGUUUUGUGCACCAUAUAAGUGAGAUAUGUGCUUUAUUGGGCCCAAAUAACCAUUUUACUCUGGGUCCACCUUAAAUCUGGUCA